GAGGCGUAUUAUGAUUGGUCGUUCUCUUGGUAACACGACCUGAGUCACUUCCGGUGAAUGGCGAUACGUAUACUACUCAACAUCAAGCACAACUUGCCCGGCUGCUUUCAAUGUGGACUGAAAUAUGGACUAGCUUGUGGUGUCAGUUGUAUUUAUUGGCCAGACCCAUGAUCAAGUGGAUCCUCAGGAGAGUUACAGGGAAAUGUGAACUGUUGAGGAUAACAUAUGAUGAAGAGCCUGGAGCAGGAAGGACAAAGAGAAUAGAAAAGUCACUCAAACGAUCCCAUCAGCCGGCACUGAAACAAAUCUUGAGUGAUGACAACCUGGUUAUUGGUGAAGCAGUGAAGGAGGUGCUUAGACUGAAGUCUAUUGUACCUGAGGUACACCCAAACUUUGAGAGAUGUUUCAGCGUGUGUGUGUGUCAGAUCUGUGGCUACAGGAGGUUGCUGCAGCAGGUAGAGGAUCACAGGAAGACCAAGUACAGCACCGCAGACAGACAGCACGAAGACAAACUCAUGCUGCUGUGGACAUUGCUAAUGCCGACCACCAAGCUUGAGUCCCGGGUCAGCAAACAGUGGACAUAUAUCGGCUUCCAGGGGGAUGAUCCCGCCACCGACUUCAGGGGGAUGGGGCUGCUGGGCCUGGACCAGCUUCUGUAUUUCAUCAAGGAAUAUCCCGAAAUCACACACAGUCUUCUCUCUCAAUCCCACCAUCCACAGUAUGGCUUCUCAUACGCAAUACUGGGCAUCAACUUCACGGGGAUGUGUUAUGACCUGCUUAAGUCUCGGAAACUGAGAACUCAUUUCUACAACCUGACCGUGGAGGCCCCUACCAUGAAACAGUUUAAUGAAGUCUACUGUUGCCUGUUCUUCGACUUCAUCCAGUUCUGGUUCAAGGAGAAGCCCAGGGACAUCAUGGAAUUCGGUCGGCUUCGUGACAAGUUCCAGAAGCUGAUUGUCAAACAACUGAAGGACAAACAUUUUGUUUUGAAGGCCAAGUUUCAGACAGCGGGGGAGGGGGGCAUCAUGAUAGAACUCUUUAUGUACCUGGAACCUUUUUCAUAUCUUCAGAUUUACUGGAAAUAUUUACUUGAAUUAAACAUUUGAUAAGAAUAUAUUGAAGUAGAUUUGGUAUUUGUGAAUGACCCGUUUUGUCUUUUAGGAUUUGUUCCAUGUUUGUGAACUAAGAUAUAUGCCACCUUGACAAGGUGCACAACGCUGUGUAUGAAGGCAUGUCCCGACGGCAUCUGUUGAUUGUAUUGAGAACAUGUCAUUAUGUAGCCAUAUUGUCGGUAGUUGGCCAACAGGGUUAUGUUUGUCUGGUGCUAUAGUGUUCCAGUAUGAUUUAGAGAGUAUGCCACAUUUUGUCAGAGUAAUUAUAUGAAUUAUGCAGAGAUGAUUUCUGCUUGAACUCUGCCCCGGAGUGAAGUAGAGGCAAUGUAUGUGCAAUAUACCUAUGAUUGAUUUACUACACUGAGCUGAGUUUACCAGUAAGUGGAGAAAAGAGAGCAGUGCUGUAAUACUCCUGAAUAUACAUUGUGUUUCCAUGUUACAACUCUCAAAGGUCUACAGAUUUUAUUAUAUUUCUUCAUUUUCGUGAUUGCUGAAAGAAAGUUUGAAGUUGUUAUUAUUUCAGGAUUGUAGUUGUCGGGACAGUAAUGAUUACUUGAGUUCAUACAAACUCAGAAAGAUUGAAAGCCUUAAACCAUGUCAUAUCUCCUUGUGAACCACAUCUGUCUAGAAGGGAAGGUAAUCUUUGUGAAUAUGGUCAUAUUGUCCUGUCUGGGAGGGGAGGUAAUCCUUGUGAAUAUGGUCAUAUUGUCCUGUCUGGGAGGGGAGGAAAUCUAUGUGAACAUGUGACCUGGUCAGUUCUGAAUGCCACAAUGCAAUAUUGGUGGGAAAAGGUUAAACAUAUGACAACAAUUUGAUGGUUACAUUAUCAACUUCAAAUGGAAUGUAAAGCGGACGCAUAGGAAUGUUCUUGUGUUGGGAGGCAGCACAUCACAGGACACCUGUCAUCAUCGAUGUCAAUUCUACGGGUGUGCGAGAAUGUGAUGACUUGUCCACCCUCAUGUCCACCCUCAUGUCCAUCCAUCCAUCCUCCUGCUCCUUCUGACAUCAUUGACAUUCAUUGGACAACAGAACAUCUUCAUACUCCCUUGACCUGCUGUAUUGUUAGAUAUGGCACCCAUCGAACAUGUGGCAUGAAAUGUAAACACCUUCCACACCUACCAGGCAUUUGAUCCAGCUGUGACAGACCAUGGUCCGAAAAGCCUUCAAACUUUCGUGUGUCGUCAGUGAGACUCAGUGUCCAGACUGUGGCCAUAUACUGACCCCACACCACCUUCAGUGGUAGAUGACCUUCAUCGAGGAUAUAUUCAUGUCCAGACACAUCAGUAUAUUGUUCUGGUAGAGUGAUGUCACAUCUCUGCUCCAUCUCUCUCAGCAGCCAUCUUCCACGUGAAGGUAACUUGUUUCGGGGGCCGUGUGAACUCCAAGUGCAGCUGUGUGAGUGAGUGGGUCAAGGUCAAGGAGGGCAUUCCUCUUGAAGAUCAGAUCCAGAAGUGAUCAUUCCACAAGUCCUGUUGCCUGUUUAAUGUGUGUGUCUAUUACGUGUGCUUUUGUGAAGUUUAAUGUUACUUCAUGUAAACAUUACCUAGGAGGUAUAACACAGACUCAGGUGACAGAGUUCUUGUCUGUGUGGCCCAGUAAUAUGUAAACUGCUUCUCAAGGAAUUUUGAAACCUUUUUUUGUCAGCAGACACAGGGCAAUGAGGUUAUGUGUCUGAGGUAACAUCACUUUCAGCUGUGCCUGACCUUGAAUGAUGAACUUGAAAGUGGCAGAAGACUUCAUUUUUCUCAUUCCACACUGUGUUUGACAUUCCCUCAACAUUGCUUACUUGGCCCCAGAGUCCGCAGUAUCACUCCACAGUAGACUCCAUGUUGGCCCUCAAAUCCGCAGUAUCACUCCACAGUAGACUCCAGGUUGAUUCAAAGUUUAUAUUGUCACCAUCUGAUACUGUAAGGUGUAAACAUCAUACAGUCUUUCAAUAAAAACAUUUAUCGUU
rnacentral:misc_RNA from 1 species